rnacentral:rRNA from 1 species
CCUACGGGCGGCAGCAGUGAGGAAUAUUGGUCAAUGGGCGGAAGCCUGAACCAGCCAAGUAGCGUGCAGGAUGACGGCCCUACGGGUUGUAAACUGCUUUUAUACGGGAAUAACGCGCCUUUCGUGUAGGGCUUUGCAUGUACCGUAUGAAUAAGGACCGGCUAAUUCCGUUCCAGCAGCCGCGGUAAUACGGAAGGUCCGGGCGUUAUCCGGAUUUAUUGGGUUUAAAGGGAGCGUAGGCCGCAUGUCAUGCGUGCUGUGAAAUGUCCGGGCUCAACCCGGGCCUUGCAGCGCGAACUGGCGAGCUUGAGUCCGCGGAAAGCAGGCGGAAUUCGUCGUGUAGCGGUGAAAUGCGUAGAUAUGACGAAGAACACCGAGUGCGAAGGCAGCUUGCUGGAGCGGAACUGACGCUGAUGCUCGAAAGCGCGGGUAUCGAACAGGAUUAGAUACCCCUGUAGUC